rnacentral:lncRNA from 1 species
CGGCUGCCAGCUGAUUUUCACGGCAUGGUUCCAGAGAGAGAGAAAGCAAAGUCAUUAGGCCCCUUUCUGCUGCCCUGGCCCCAUGAGAGAACCUACAAUAAGCAAUCUGCUGUGACAUUCUGAACAUAGCCCCUAGACAGAAAUUAAAUGUGUCAAGAAGGACCACUUUGAAAACCUUUGUGCCACCAGCCCCUUCCCUCCUUCCAAUUAGCCUACUCCCACCCCAUGACCCUACCUACCUAUCAAGUUGGCUUCCUGUUAAGAGGACAACAUGCUCUAGAGACAAGUAUUUGCAGUUGGAGGAUCCCUGAAGCUGCCUCUCAAAUUCUCAAGCACUUAGGGUGGGAGUCGCUGAGCUACUGGCCUUCUUGGCUGAACAUUUCAGGGGAAACAGCAGAUUGAGAGUAAGCAAGUAAAUGGGAGCACCCUGGGGGUGCUGGAAGUCAUUGUUACCUUUUUUUCCCUUUUUUCAUUUAUGUGGAUGGGUAGUUGUCACCUCAAAUUGACCUUAGUGUAUCUUC